UACGUAGGUGGCAAGCGUUGUCCGGAUUUACUGGGCGUAAAGAGCGCGCAGGCGGUCGAUCAAGUCGCGUGUGAAAGCCCCCGGCUCAACUGGGGAGGGUCACGCGAUACUGAUCGACUCGAAGGCAGGAGAGGGUAGUGGAAUUCCCGGUGUAGUGGUGAAAUGCGUAGAGUAUCGGGAGGAACACCAGUGGCGAAGGCGACUACCUGGCCUGUUCUUGACGCUGAGGCGCGAAAGCUAGGGGAGCAAACGGGG
rnacentral:rRNA from 1 species